rnacentral:rRNA from 1 species
UACAGAGGUCUCAAGCGUUGUUCGGAUUCAUUGGGCGUAAAGGGUGCGUAGGCGGCGCGGUAAGUCGGGUGUGAAAUCUCGGAGCUUAACUCCGAAACUGCAUUCGAUACUGACCGUGCGUUGAGGACUGGAGAGGAGACUGGAAUUUGACGGUGAGCGGUGAAAUGCGUAGAUAUCGUAAGGAAGACCAGUGGCGAAAGGCGGGUCUCUGG